rnacentral:lncRNA from 1 species
UAUAUAUAUAUGUGUAUAUAACACCUCUGUACUUACCAUUGCCAGGGCGUAGUCAAAGGCUCCUGGUCUUUACUAUAACUGCCAGGGCAUAGUCAAAGGCUCCUGGUCUUUACUAUACCUGCCAGGGCGUAGUCAAAGGCUCCUGGACUUUCAACUAAUCAUGAAAACGAAUCAAAUCUGUGCAUGAGUUAAUGAAAACAUGGAAGAAAACUCACAAAGGACAGGGUUUCACCUUAGAAGAUAAAAGAAACGGUGCUUGCACCGCUUCAACCGACUGAGGGCCAUUUAUAGGUGGCUAGCCAGACCACCUUCGGCAGCCACACGUGAAACCGAAAGCCAUGCAUGUUCGGCGGCCGAACCUCAACUUCGGCGGCCGAACCUGGCUUUUCUGCCUUGGUUCAUUUCACUCAAAAACUCAUUUCUUAGGCAUAAAACUUAAUAAACAUAUCAAAACAUUUAAGAAAAACAUAAUUCUAACCCUUCUAGAGACUUCCGACAUCCCGGACUCCACCGGAAAGUAGACUUCCGAUACCGGACUCUAACAGAGUAUUACACUCUCCUUCCCGAUUCUCUUCUUCCUUUUCUCCUCAUCAUUCUCCUUCUUUUCUUGAUCCUCUUCUUCCUUCUUCUUCCGUGUUUGAUUUCAUGCAAUUGGGCGAGAUGGUAAUGGUGAUUAUACGAAUAUAGGUAAAUCUGAAGAGCUUCUUCCUUCUCUCCUCAUCCUUCUUCUUCUUCUGUGUUUGAUUUCAUGCAAUUGGGCGAGAUGGUAGUGGUGAUUAUACGAAUAUGGAUAAAUCUGAAGAGUUUCUUCCUUUUCUCCUCAUCCUUUUCUCCUCAUCCUUCUUCUUCUUCUGUAUUUGAUUUCAUGCAAUUAGGCGAGAUGGUAGUGGUGAUUAUACGAAUAUGGAUAAAUCUGAAUAGCUUCUUCCUUCUCUCCUCAUCCUUCUUAUUUUUCUGUGUUUGAUUUCAUGCAAUUGGGCGAGAUGGUAGUGGUGAUUAUACGAAUAUGGAUAAAUCUGAAGAGAGAAGAAGAACAAUGAUGAGAAUAAAAUAGAGCAGAUAAGUGAGUAAGAGCAGCCGCAACUAAGAAGAAGGAGGAUGAGGAGAAGAAGAAGGAGAAGGAGAGGAUUGAGAAGGGGAGAUAGUGGGAUGGAGUGAAUACUGUUUGGUUGAAUUUUUUUACUUAAAGGGUAGUUUAGUUAUUUUCAUUAAAAUAAACGGAAGGUUAAUUGAAAAUUUGACGGUAGAGACUAUUUUGCAGUUUUUUUAAAUGUGAAAAAUUAAAUUAUAGGUUUUUAAAAAUACAGAAACUAAAGUAAAUAUUUCAUUAAACUAGAGGGAUUAAACUGUAGUUUACCCAAAUAAAAAUGAUAACAUGAUGUGAAAUACUCUUCAAACUCGAGGGAUUACCAGUAAAAAUUACUCAAAAACUAAGGCUUCAUUUGUUUCAAGAGAAUUAUUUUUUAUAUUUUUUAAUGUUUGAGACACAUAUGAAAAUUAGUUAGAAUAUUUUUUUAAUAAAAGAAAAAUAUUAAAUCAUAUGUAAAAUGACUUCUUUCUACGUUUUGAAAAUCUUAGUAAGAUCUUUUUAUAUAAAUGUAUUAAUAUAUAUAUUAUUUUUAAGGGUUGGUGUUAAAAAUUCUAAUUUUUGUAUCACUUUACGAUUUAAUUUUUAGUUUUCAAUUUUGGCACAAUAAACUAUUUUUUUUUAAAUUCUUAAAAAAUUUUAUUCUAAUUUCAAACUGAAAUUAGAUAGAGCCUGUUUUCAUCUACCUAGCAAAUCUAAUCCCGUGGGUUAUUUUGCUAUUAUUUAAUCGGGCCGCUUGAUAAAUUUUUAAUUAUGGUAUUUCAUACAAAUUUUUACAAAUCAGUGUAAUUUGAUUUAUUUCAAAGAAAUUGAAUUUCUCAAAGCAACUCCUACAAAUUUUAUAUAUCAUUUCAAGCAAUCUCAACAACAGCUCACAAAUUCUAAAAAAUAAAACACAAAUUACAUAUGUAGAUAUAAAAAAUUGAAUUGCAGAUUACACGAAAAUAUAGAUUUGAACAAAUAAAUCCAAACACAAAAAUUAUAAAUUAUUCACAAAUAACAAAUCCACAUGCGGACAAAGAAUAAACAGCCAGAGGAACACAAAUUAUACAAUUAAAUCUAAAGCCAAACAUCAAACAUAGCCUCACAAUACCGUAAUCAAUAACCAACUAAAGAUUCAAAGUCAUAUGCCCAUAUGGAAUCAAACAAGAUAAAAAUCUACUGUCGAGGCUUUAGAAAACUAAAGCUAGAUAGAUCAAUUCACCUUCAUUGCUGCUGGAUGACCAUCUGCCACCUUGAAAAUUAACUCUAAUGAUAUAGCUUGCAUUCACAUCAUUAGAUGUUGAAGAUUCAACAUCAUCUGCCUUCAUGCGAGAUGUCCAUGUCAACGGAAAUAAGGAAGUGGCAGUGAGCGAAGAUAAAGUGGCAGAAGGUCGACGACAACAACACCAGUCUUUAUACCCAUAUUAUAACUGAGUAUCUAACCAUAUUAUGGCUGAGCAUCAGUGUAGAGAUUGAAGGAGAAGGAAAAGGAGCUCUGAAAAAAAAAACAGAGAAGGGUGUGGAAUGGAAGGUGGAGCCGCGGUUGAAAAACUUUUGAUGUUUAAAGUUGGGAUGUUAAUGAAUUAGGGUUUUAUUUAGUUUGGUUAAAAAUUAAAGUUGAAUUCAAAUCUUAUUGACUAAUUAAUUAAAUCAAAC